rnacentral:rRNA from 1 species
AACGAACGCUGGCGGCAUGCCUAACACAUGCAAGUCGAACGAGACCUUCGGGCCUAGUGGCGCACGGGUGCGUAACGCGUGGGAACCUGCCCUUAGGUUCGGAAUAACUCCCCGAAAGGGGUGCUAAUACCGGAUAAUGUCUUCGGACCAAAGAUUUAUCGCCUUUGGAUGGGCCCGCGUUGGAUUAGCUGGUUGGUAGGGUAAAAGCCUACCAAGGCGACGAUCCAUAGCUGGUCUGAGAGGAUGAUCAGCCACACUGGGACUGAGACACGGCCCAGACUCCUACGGGAGGGAGCAGUGGGGAAUAUUGGGCAAUGGGCGAAAGCCUGAUCCAGCAGUGCCGCGUGAGUGAUGAAGGCCUUAGGGUUGUAAAGCUCUUUUACCCGGGAUGAUAAUGACAGUACCGGGAGAAUAAGCUCCGGCUAACUCCGUG